rnacentral:ncRNA from 1 species
GAGGAAGCCCGGUGCGAACCCGGCGCGGUCCCGCCACUGUGAGUCCGGCCACUACGGGGCCGGGCGAGCCAGGAACUC